rnacentral:rRNA from 1 species
GUAGGUGGCAAGCGUUGUCCGGAAUUAUUGGGCGUAAAGCGCGCGCAGGCGGUUCUUUAAGUCUGAUGUGAAAGCCCACGGCUCAACCGUGGAGGGUCAUUGGAAACUGGAGAACUUGAGUACAGAAGAGGAAAGCGGAAUUCCACGUGAAGCGGUGAAAUGCGUAGAGAUGUGGAGGAACACCAGUGGCGAAGGCGGCUUUCUGGUCUGUAACUGACGCUGAGGCGCGAAAGCGUGGGGAGCAAACAGGAUUAGAUACCCUGGUAGUCCACGCCGUAAACGAUGAGUGCUAAGUGUUAGGGGGGUUUUCCGCCCCCCUUAGUGCUGCAGCUAACGCAUUAAGCACUCCGCCUGGGAGUACGACCGCAAGGUUG